GCCUAACCGUAAACAAUUAACUUACACCAACACCGCCAGGGGACUACGAGCAAUGCUUAAAACCCAAAGGAUUUGACGGUGUCCCACCCCACUAGAGGAGCCUGUUCUAUAAUCGAUAAUCCCCGAUUCACCUAACCAUCCCUCGCCUUCAGUCUGUAUACCUCCGUCGAAAGCUUACCAUGUGAAUGCCCGCAGUGAGCUUAAUGAUCCACCAUCAGUACGUCAGGUCAAGGUGCAACUUAAGGAAUGGUAAGUAAUGGGCUACAAUUUCUAAUCUAGAACAAACGAAAGACUAUGUGAAACCCUAGUCAUGAAGGUGGAUUUAGUAGUAAAAAGAAAGCAGAUGUUCUUUUUAACCCGGCUCUGGGACGCGUACACACCGCC
rnacentral:rRNA from 1 species